AUAAGGCUGUAAGGUAACAAAAUGUGGAGAAAAAAAAACAGGGUUCGACUACUUUCCAAAUGCACAAUACAUGCAAACAUGUAAAUGGUGUGUCGACAAAAUUAAAUAUUACUGUAUGCAUGUGAAAAACAACUGCAAAAGUGAACAUGAAUGUAGGCCUAGGAGUCUAGCCUAGUGUAUACAGCUUGAUGUGGUGUUGUGUCUGCACCCGCCAGGACAUGUGACAGGAACAGGAUGGAGAGAGGUAGGGGGUGGGGAUGAGAGAGGCAGGGGAGGAGAGGGGCAUGGGGUGGGAAAGAGAGCGACAGAGCGAGAGCGCGACCGAAAGAGCGAGAAAGAGCGACAGAGCGAGAGCGCGCUAGAGAGCACAAACAGAGAGAGAGAGACAUAUGGAACAAACAGAGAGAGAGGGGGGAUGGUUUCUUCCUCUCCUGUUCUACUCUGCAGCCUGUUUUGGCCCGGGCCCAGAAUUCUGCUGCUUCUGGUAACCUGGUUCCAUAAAGGAAAGGCCCAUGGCUACAGUGAGUAACAAACACAUCCUAUCCCAUCAUCACUCAACUUGUCCCAAGCAUAUAUGCGAGCGCACACACAGUGACGCGCUUGAAUAUAUGCAUGCACAUCCCAGUUGUACACACUAACACACACACAAACACACACAGGCAGGCACGCACAGGCAGACAGGCAGAGACAGGCACGCACAGACAGACAGGCACACACAGAGACAGACAGACAGACAGGCGCUCACAGACAAAGACAGACAGAGAGAGACACGCCCGCACAGACAGAAAGGCAGACAGAACAGCUUGCCCGUCCGACAGGCAGACCCGCCGACACACACACCCGCCGACACACACACCCGCCGACACACACACACACCCGCCGACACACACACACACCUGCCGACACACACACACACCUGCCGACACACACACCCGUCGAGACACACACAAGAGUAUGUAGAGAGGUGAUGGGGUGGCUAGAAGACAGUGUAGAGAGGUGAUGGGGUGGAUAGAAGACAGUGUAGAGAGGUGAUGGGGUGGAUAGAAGACAGUGUAGAGAGGUGAUGGGGUGGAUAGAAGACAGUGUAGAGAGGUGAUGGGGUGGAUAGAAGACAGUGAAGAGGUGAUGGGGUGGAUAGAAGACAGUGAAGAGGUGAUGGGGUGGAUAGAAGACAGUGAAGAGGUGAUGGGGUGGAUAGAAGACAGUGAAAAGAGGUGAUGGGGUGGAUAGAAGACUGUAGAGAG
ensembl:lncRNA